AAGUCGUAACAAGGUUUCCGUAGGUGAACCUGCGGAAGGAUCAUUCAAGUAAAUGAAUCCCCCACACUUGCCAAACUGUAACACUAGUUGAUGGGGAAGAAUGAGACCAAGGAUCUUCCGGCGUUGAUUUUUUCCCCAGCAUCUAAACACCAAACGUUCUAUUGUAAAGAUUUGUUCCGGUUUAAAAUUAUAUAAAUUAUAUACAACCUUUAACAAUGGAUCUCUUGGUUCCU
rnacentral:misc_RNA from 1 species